rnacentral:rRNA from 1 species
GGUUAAGCGACUAAGCGUACACGGUGGAUGCCCUGGCAGUCAGAGGCGAUGAAGGACGUGCUAAUCUGCGAAAAGCGCCGGCGAGGUGAUAUGAACCUUUGACCCGGCGAUGUCCGAAUGGGGAAACCCAGUGUGAUUCGUCACACUAUCGUUAACUGAAUACAUAGGUUAACGAGGCGAACCGGGGGAACUGAAACAUCUAAGUACCCCGAGGAAAAGAAAUCAACCGAGAUUCCCCCAGUAGCGGCGAGCGAACGGGGAGCAGCCCGGAGUCUGAAUCAGCUUGUGUGUUAGUGGAACGGUCUGGAAAGUCCGACGGUACAGGGUGAUAGUCCCGUACACGAAAAUGCACAGGYUGUGAACUCGAAGAGUAGGGCGGGACACGUGGUAUCCUGUCUGAAUAUGGGGGGACCAUCCUCCAAGGCUAAAUACUCCUGACUGACCGAUAGUGAACCAGUACCGUGAGGGAAAGGCGAAAAGAACCCCGGCGAGGGGAGUGAAAAAGAACCUGAAACCGUGUACGUACAAGCAGUGGGAGCCUACUUGUUAGGUGACUGCGUACCUUUUGUAUAAUGGGUCAGCGACUUAUAUUCUGUAGCAAGGUUAACCGWAUAGGGGAGCCGAAGGGAAACCGAGUCUUAACUGGGCGUUAAGUUGCAGGGUAUAGACCCGAAACCCGGUGAUCUAGCCAUGGGCAGGUUGAAGGUUGGGUAACACUAACUGGAGGACCGAACCGACUAAUGUUGAAAAAUUAGCGGAUGACCUGUGGCUGGGGGUGAAAGGCCAAUCAAACCGGGAGAUAGCUGGUUCUCCCCGAAAGCUAUUUAGGUAGCGCCUCGUGAACUCAUCUUCGGGGGUAGAGCACUGUUUCGGCUAGGGGGCCAUCCCGGCUUACCAACCCGAUGCAAACUACGAAUACCGAAGAAUGUUAUCACGGGAGACACACGGCGGGUGCUAACGUCCGUCGUGAAGAGGGAAACAACCCAGACCGCCAGCUAAGGUCCCAAAGUCAUGGUUAAGUGGGAAACGAUGUGGGAAGGCACAGACAGCCAGGAUGUUGGCUUAGAAGCAGCCAUCAUUUAAAGAAAGCGUAAUAGCUCACUGGUCGAGUCGGCCUGCGCGGAAGAUGUAACGGGGCUAAACCAUGCACCGAAGCUGCGGCAGCGACGCUUAUGCGUUGUUGGGUAGGGGAGCGUUCUGUAAGCCGUUGAAGGUGGCCUGUGAGGGUUGCUGGAGGUAUCAGAAGUGCGAAUGCUGACAUAAGUAACGAUAAAGCGGGUGAAAAGCCCGCUCGCCGGAAGACCAAGGGUUCCUGUCCAACGUUAAUCGGGGCAGGGUGAGUCGACCCCUAAGGCGAGGCCGAAAGGCGUAGUCGAUGGGAAACAGGUUAAUAUUCCUGUACUUGGUGUUACUGCGAAGGGGGGACGGAGAAGGCUAUGUUAGCCGGGCGACGGUUGUCCCGGUUUAAGCAUGUAGGCGGAGGUUCCAGGUAAAUCCGGUACCUUUUAACGCUGAGGUGUGAUGACGAGGCACUACGGUGCUGAAGUAACAAAUGCCCUGCUUCCAGGAAAAGCCUCUAAGCAUCAGGUAACACGAAAUCGUACCCCAAACCGACACAGGUGGUCAGGUAGAGAAUACCAAGGCGCUUGAGAGAACUCGGGUGAAGGAACUAGGCAAAAUGGUGCCGUAACUUCGGGAGAAGGCACGCUGAUAUGUAGGUGAAGCCCCUGCGGGUGGAGCUGAAAUCAGUCGAAGAUACCAGCUGGCUGCAACUGUUUAUUAAAAACACAGCACUGUGCAAACACGAAAGUGGACGUAUACGGUGUGACGCCUGCCCGGUGCCGGAAGGUUAAUUGAUGGGGUUAGCGGYAACGCGAAGCUCUUGAUCGAAGCCCCGGUAAACGGCGGCCGUAACUAUAACGGUCCUAAGGUAGCGAAAUUCCUUGUCGGGUAAGUUCCGACCUGCACGAAUGGCGUAAUGAUGGCCAGGCUGUCUCCACCCGAGACUCAGUGAAAUUGAACUCGCUGUGAAGAUGCAGUGUACCCGCGGCAAGACGGAAAGACCCCGUGAACCUUUACUAUAGCUUGACACUGAACACUGGUCCUUGAUGUGUAGGAUAGGUGGGAGGCUUUGAAGCGUGGACGCCAGUCUGCGUGGAGCCGACCUUGAAAUACCACCCUUUAAUGGCUGGUGUUCUAACGUAGACCCGURAUCCGGGUUGCGGACAGUGUCUGGUGGGUAGUUUGACUGGGGCGGUCUCCUCCCAAAGAGUAACGGAGGAGCACGAAGGUUAGCUAAUCCUGGUCGGACAUCAGGAGGUUAGUGCAAUGGCAUAAGCUAGCUUGACUGCGAGAGUGACGGCUCGAGCAGGUGCGAAAGCAGGUCAUAGUGAUCCGGUGGUUCUGAAUGGAAGGUGGAGAAUUGAGGGGGGCUGCUCCUAGUACGAGAGGACCGGAGUGGACGCAUCACUGGUGUUCGGGUUGUCAUGCCAAUGGCACUGCCCGGUAGCUAAAUGCGGAAGAGAUAAGUGCUGAAAGCAUCUAAGCACGAAACUUGCCCCGAGAUGAGUUCUCCCUGAGACUWUAAGUCUCCUGAAGGAACGUUGAAGACGACGACGUUGAUAGGUCGGGUGUGUAAGCGCAGCGAUGCGUUGAGCUAACCGAUACUAAUGAACCGUGAGGCUUAACCUU